rnacentral:rRNA from 1 species
UACGAGGGGGGCGAGCGUUGUUCGGAAUUAUUGGGCGUAAAGGGUGCGUAGGCGGUUUGGUAAGUCUUAUGUGAAAUCUAUGGGCUCAACUCAUAGUCUGCAUGAGAAACUGCCGGGCUUGAGUAUGGGAGAGGUGAGUGGAAUUCCUGGUGUAGCGGUGAAAUGCGUAGAUAUCAGGAGGAACACCUGUGGCGAAAGCGGCUCACUGGACCAUAACUGACGCUGAUGCACGAAAGCGUGGGGAGCGAAACGG